AGUGAACGCUGGCGGUAGGCCUAACACAUGCAAGUCGAACGGCAGCACAGUAAGAGCUUGCUCUUACGGGUGGCGAGUGGCGGACGGGUGAGGAAUACAUCGGAAUCUACUUUUUCGUGGGGGAUAACGUAGGGAAACUUACGCUAAUACCGCAUACGACCUACGGGUGAAAGCAGGGGAUCUUCGGACCUUGCGCGAUUGAAUGAGCCGAUGUCGGAUUAGCUAGUUGGCGGGGUAAAGGCCCACCAAGGCGACGAUCCGUAGCUGGUCUGAGAGGAUGAUCAGCCACCCUGGAACUGAGACACGGUCCAGACUCCUACGGGAGGCAGCAGUGGGGAAUAUUGGACAAUGGGCGCAAGCCUGAUACAGCCAUACCGCGUGGGUGACGAAGGCCUUCGGGUUGUAAAGCCCUUUUGUUGGGAAAGAAAAGCAGCAGGUUAAUACCCCGCUGUUCUGACGGUACCCAAAGAAUAAGCACCGGCUAACUUCGUG
rnacentral:rRNA from 1 species